rnacentral:rRNA from 1 species
UACGGAAGGCAGCAGGGGGGAAUAUUGCACAAUGGGCGCAAGCCUGAUGCAGCCAUGCCGCGUGUAUGAAGAAGGCCUUCGGGUUGUAAAGUACUUUCAGUCGUGAGGAAGGUGUUAAGGUUAAUAACCUUAGCAAUUGACGUUAGCGACAGAAGAAGCACCGGCUAACUCCGUGCCAGCAGCCGCGGUAAUACGGAGGGUGCGAGCGUUAAUCGGAAUUACUGGGCGUAAAGGGCACGCAGGCGGUUAAUUAAGUUGGAUGUGAAAUCCCCGGGCUUAACCUGGGAAUGGCAUUCAAGACUGGUUAGCUAGAGUCUUGUAGAGGGGGUAGAAUUCCAUGUGUAGCGGUGAAAUGCGUAGAGAUGUGGAGGAAUACCGGUGGCGAAGGCGGCCCCUGGACAAAGACUGACGCUCAUGUGCGAAAGCGUGGGGAGCGAAACGAGGAUUAGAUA